AUUGAACGCUGGCGGAAUGCUUUACACAUGCAAGUCGAACGGUAGAGGGGGCAACCCCUUGAGAGUGGCGAACGGGUGAGUAAUAUAUCGGAACGUGCCCAGUCGUGGGGGAUAACGUAGCGAAAGUUACGCUAAUACCGCAUACGAUCUAAGGAUGAAAGCGGGGGACUCGCAAGAGCCUCGCGCGAUUGGAGCGGCCGAUAUCAGAUUAGGUAGUUGGUGGGGUAAAGGCUCACCAAGCCAACGAUCUGUAGCUGGUCUGAGAGGACGACCAGCCGACACUGGAACUGAGACACGGUCCAGACUCCUACGGGAGGCAGCAGUGGGGAAUUUUGGGACAAUGGACGAAAGUCUGAUCCAGCCAUUCCGCGUGCA
rnacentral:rRNA from 1 species